rnacentral:rRNA from 1 species
GAGAACUUUCCAGAGAUGGAUUGGUGCCUUCGGGAACUCUGAGACAGGUGCUGCAUGGCUGUCGUCAGCUCGUGUUGUGAAAUGUUGGGUUAAGUCCCGCAACGAGCGCAACCCUUAUCCUUUGUUGCCAGCGGUUAGGCCGGGAACUCAAAGGAGACUGCCAGUGAUAAACUGGAGGAAGGUGGGGAUGACGUCAAGUCAUCAUGGCCCUUACGAGUAGGGCUACACACGUGCUACAAUGGCGCAUACAAAGAGAAGCGACCUCGCGAGAGCAAGCGGACCUCAUAAAGUGCGUCGUAGUCCGGAUUGGAGUCUGCAACUCGACUCCAUGAAGUCGGAAUCGCUAGUAAUCGUGGAUCAGAAUGCCACGGUGAAUACGUUCCCGGGCCUUGUACACACCGCCCGUCACACCAUGGGAGUGGGUUGCAAAAGAAGUAGGUAGCUUAACCUUCGGGAGGGCGCUUACCACUUUGUGAUUCAUGACUGGGGUGAAGUCGUAACAAGGUAGGCGUAGUGCU